rnacentral:rRNA from 1 species
GGACUACUGGGGUAUCUAAUCCCGUUCGCUCCCCUGGCUUUCGCGCCUCAGCGUCAGAAGGGGUCCAGCACGCCGCUUUCGCCACCGGCGUUCCUUCGGAUAUCUACGCAUUUCACCGCUCCACCCGAAGUUCCGCAUGCCCCUACCCCCCUCGAGGGCGCCAGUAUCGGAGGCCGUUUUCCGGUUGGGCCGAAAGAUUUCACCCCCGACUUGGCGACCCGCCUACGCGCCCUUUAAGCCCAGUGAAUCCGAACAACGUUCGCACGGUUCGUCUUACCGCGGCUGCUGGCAC